UGCUAUGACUGUAAGCUUCCUGAGGCCUCCCCAGCAAAAGAGAUUGCAACCUUGUGGAGGGCAGAGGCUGUGUCUGCCUCAUCUGUGCAUUUCCACCACCCAAUCCAUAGUAGAUGUUUCUUGAAUAAAUGAUCUUAUUUCCUUUGUGAGCAGUUACGGUGGAUCCCAGGUAAGGGUGUCUGUUUGUAUGUACCAAGAGUAACCCUAGUCUUUCAGAGCAACAGAAUUCCCAUCUUUUGUGACUUAGCCAGGGCAAGAAUUCUGGUCAGAAGUAUUUGCCAUUUAAAUGUGUUUCUCUGGAUAGGAUUAAUAUUCCUCUUUUGGCUUUUUUAUAAUGGUUCAUUUAUUGUAUAUUCUAGUCAUAGGCUUCACCAUGCAAAUAGAGAAAUAUCUAGAAGGUUGCAUAUAUCUUUGAAUCCUGACAUGUCAACUGUUUGUCCCCUCUACUCUGUAGGUUUGGUAUAUAAAUGACAUUUACCAUUGCCUAAGAACUACUAGGAACUUCUGCCCGCCCUGUGCUUCAUCUUGUUAUGUCAGAUAUAGCAUCUUCCAUAUAAUUCUGUUUUGCAGUAUAUUUGGCCUUUUUACCUCUCUCUGACAAAAACCCUGUUUCUACUCUUGUUGAUCAGGGCAGAAUUGUCUGCCAAAUACAUUCUUCCCAGUCUUUGUGACGUGUAGCCAGAUUCUACAGAUUCUAGCCAGGACAUUUGUUCUGAUGUCAUAGGCCACAGUCUAGGAAAUUAACAUCUUCUCUUCAACGCUGUCUCUAGCUGUUCACUCCCUUAGCCUCCUUUCUUUUCCAAAGACAUGACGUUCAGCUGGAAUAGCUGAAAACAUCACCUGUGUCCUGAGUGCCCAUUUACAAUUUUCCAUACAGAACACUGGGGUCUCUGGGCACCCAACCCACCAUUCGUUUCCAUGGGGGGGCAGUGAAUGGUGAGAUUCAGGGGUCUUAUCUUGUAUAUUGCCACAUACCCUCUCUACUGUGGUCUUGUGACUGACUGUCCAUGCAUAGGUGCCUCUGGAUGGCACAGGUCAAACUCUUCCUGACAUAAUUUCCUCCAGGAAUAAUAAUGGGGUUCUUUUAUGUGAUAGCCCCUAAAAAUCUCUUUUAUUGUUCUUAGAGCAUGAAAUGAUACUUUUUAUCAAAAUAUCUCAUAGCAUGCUCCACUACAAUCUCUGUGGAAUUUCCUCCUUUCUUCUCAUUCACAUAACUUCUGACAUCUAUUUCUAUUCAUAAUUUUGGCAUCUUUUUCUACUUGGUUGCUUACUUCCUGGAUUAGUUUUUUCACUUCCUAUUAUGUUCAUUCUCUAAUAAACUAGAAUGUAACAAGGUGAUCCUCAAACUUUUUCUUUCAUUUUUAAUGGCCACUGAAGCUUGAACGUAGAGUAAAUAGAACUCUUAAUCAGAGGAAGACAAACACAAAUAGAUUCCAAAGGUCAGAAAGCUCUAAUCUGUACAUCACUUCCAAGCCUGAAGAACAAGAAAACAUCUUGGAACGGCAGGGAACAAUUGUUUUCAAGCCCCACUGACUGGAACAAAGUAAUGACCUUCUCAUUCAUUUUCUGUUAAAAGUGCUCUGUAUAUUUGAGAAUCUUCAUGUGGCUUCUCAGCAGCUGAUACUGAGACAUUAGAAAGCCCAUAAUCAGCACCAUGAUGUUGUUAAAAGAACACCAGCAGAGGGGCUAUAAGAGAUUGAGCAGGCCACUCAUCCUGUUUGAGAAUUCCGCUAUCUGUGAACUGGGGAUGAUAAUAAUAUCUGGCCUUCUAAGUUCUGCUCUCUGGCCUGAGGCUCAACCUCUUCACCUCAUGAAUGACACCAGGAAGAUUCAGCCUUCAGGAAAAAGAGUGCCCCUACUCAACUCUGAAAUCACAACUUUACCUGAAGAGUCCAUCAGGACAACACAACAGAAGAAAAAAUAAUAAAACCAACAUCUAUACAUACAUGCCUUGUAUAAUAGCUGAUUGAGACGGAGGUAGAAAGAAUUGACAUUUCUUUGCACUAGGGUAUUUUAUACUAGGGUACAAAAUAGCUUGAAGUAGAACCUAUCUUUUCAGCUUACAGCUUUCGAUAGCCAUGCUAUCCUUAAUUGGUUGGUUGAUUUUCUAUCUACAAUUCUUUAUUAUACUGUGAAAUAAUAAGAAAUACACAUAUUGUCCCCAGUUUCUGGCAUAGAGCUGCUAAAAUCCUUGCAAUUUCCUGAACAAUAGGGAUGCUAGGAGGAUCUUUAGUUCUAAUAUUUGGUCUUCGAGCCUGGUUCUUGACACAGAGCUCCUAAAUCUCUAGGAAUUUCCUGGGUGAUAGAAACAUCUUUUGUUCUUUUGAGGUUACUCUUGGUAGGCUCCUGGAUAUGGGCCGGUCACUAGAAAGAUCAAGCCAUGAUUAUAAGCUUGGAACUUUCAGCCCCAGCCCCCAUUCUCCAGAGAGGGGAGAGUGGCUGGAAAUGGAGUGAAAAAUAAAUAAUGCCUACGUGAUGAUGCCUCCAUAAAUAUCCCUAAACUGUGGGGUUUGGAGAGUUUCUGGUUUGGCAAAUGCAUCCAUGUGCCAGCAGCACGGCACACCCCAAUUCUAUAGGGUCAGAAUCUUCUGUACUUUGCGACCCUUUUCAGCUUCACCCUACAUAUCUCUCCCACCUGUCUGUUCAUCUAUAUUCUUUAUUAUAUCCUUUACUAAUAAACUGGUAAAUGUAACUUUCCCCGAGUUCUGUGAGCCAUUCUUAAACCCAAGAAGGAAGUAGUGGGAACCACGAUUUACAGCCCACAUACCUAUAUAGUACACUUGUGUAGUAUAGAUAACAUCCUACUACUUGCGAUUGGCAUCAAAAGCUAGGGUAAGUCUUACAGAACUCAGGCCUUAACCUAUGGGAUCUGAUGCUAUCUGCAGGUAUGUAAUGUCAGAAUUGAACUGAAUUGUAAGACAUCCAGCUGGUGUGUGCUAGAGAACUGCUUGUUGUAUGAUAAAAUAUCCCUACACAUCUGGUGUCAGAAGUAUUAUGUUGAGUGGUCUGUGAGAGUAGGAAAAAAAACACUUUGGAUUUAUUUUUCUUAUCUCUAAUAGUACAGUUCAGCCAGAACUACAGAUUCAAUGAUUGUCUACACUGACAAAGCUUGAGAAUCAAAGAGAGAAUGACAUUAGUGGGUACAGACUCAGACACAUGACAUGGAAAUGUAGAGUGAUGGAAUGUAGCCCAGAAAGCCCAAAAAUCUAUGAGCACACAGGAGGAGAUAUAGAUAUGUAUACACACACACCACACACACACACAUACACACACACACACACACUCACACAGGUAUACACCUCCCAAAUGGUAUCAGAGCUGAGAACAAACAGGCGCUGCUAUUCUAUUUUUAAGGCUGUCAUUUUUCAGCAGAUCAGAACAAAGUAAAACACAGUAGGAGAAAAAAGCGAACUAAGGGUUCUAUUGCUUUUGUUUGAAGUCAUCCAUGCUGAAGUUGAUUUUAAUUUAAAUGUGGGGUUAGUUUACCUUGGGGGUCAUAGUGCAUGUGCAAGCUAGGACCCUCAGCAAUUAUCUUGCACCAUGUAAAAAUCAACGAACCUGUGCACUUGAGGAAAGGCUAUUUGUUACUUUUUCACUAGAAAUAAAUUAACCAGCCAACUCAAGGAUACAUACACUUAAUGACAGUGACAAAAACGAGUCGAUAUCUUCUUUACUGACUUCCCCCAGCAAAUGUAACGGAGAGUUGACUUUCCUGGGUUGGUAUCUAGAAAGGUAAGCCUGAAUGGUUAUUUUUUAAAUAAUCUCUCAUGUGUAAACAGAAUGUACUUCCCUGUUUUGUAUUUGACACUUGCACCAAUGUAGUGAUUUUAAAGUAAACAAUUUUGGACUAGAAUCCUCAUGACUUGCUAUGGUCUAAAUGUUUGUUUCCCCACAAAAUUCAUGUCUUAAAACCUAAUCACCAAGGUGAUGGUAUUAGGAGGUGGAGUCUGUGGGAGAUGAUUAGGUCAGGAGAGCUCUCCACUCAUGCAUAGGAUUAGUGCCCUUAUGAAAAAGACCCCAGAGAACUAGUUAGAGGGCGACCCUUCCACCAUGUGAGGACAUGACAAGAAGUCAGCAGUCUGCAACCCAGAAGAGCGCCCUCAUCAGAUGCUGAAUCUACAGGCAUCUUAAUCUUGGACUUCUUAGUCUCCAGAACUGUAGAAAAUAAAUUUCUGUUACUUAUAAGCAACCCAUUUUAGUGUAUUUUGUUAUGGCAGCCUGGACAGACUAAGGCAUGACUUUUCCCAAUGACCUACUGUGUCUGUGAUUUAUUGAUGUAUUCCAAUUUGAGGAAAACCCAUUAGAGACAGUCCUUGCUUCAUAAAAUUGAAGAAUUGUGAAUAAAGAAAAUAUUGGUAGAUUGAAUCUCUUAUGAAAGAUACUAGUUAACUCGUUACAGUGGAGCCUUCACAGUUGCAAGAGGUGCCCUGAGAGCAGGUGGCCACAUAUGGCUAUGCAGAGGAGCACUGCCCCAUGCCAGGUCACACCUCUUAAACAGACCUGAGAUCUCCAGAAAAUGCCAAAGUUGCUUUAAUGCCAUGUUUCUUCAUUUAUCACAUGGGGAGAGUAAAUGCAUCCUCACUGAGCUGAGAGGAUUAAAAGAUACUUUCAUAUUAAUUGAGAACAACAAAACUGGACUGAGAUGCGGGUGCUUGUUUUGCACGAAGUGAUCAGCCUCUGCACAUCAUCUUCGUAGCUCAGAAGAUUCAAAUUAAAAAGAAAUCAUGAACUACCUAUCAUGAGUCACUUGCAAAUAGCUACAACUAUGAACAGUAAAUGAAGCCAUGAAUUCUUACAUUGAAAGGAAUUCAUGAUUACAACUUUUAAUUUGAGGGUCAAUACAAUUAGAUUCUCAAGUUAGAGUACACCUUUGUAGAUUUCAGAAUAAUUCUAUUCCUCAGAGGAGUCUUCAUAUGAUCAAAGAUUCACCAUAUUGUUCUCAUCUUAAAUUGUUUUUAGAGACAGGGUUUUGCUGUUGUCUAAGCUGGUCUCAAACUCCUGGGCUCAAGCAAUCCUGUCUCAGUCUCCCAAAAUGCUGGGGUUACAGGAAUGAGCCACCACCCCUGACCAUAGAAUUUUCUUAAUAGUGAGAUUCCCACAUAAUUUUAAGUCUCUUUAAAUAACCUGAUUUUGUAGAACCACACUGCGGUGAAUUCUUGCUACAUUCGUGCCCAGAAGGAUAUACUAUUGAUCACAUCAAGAGAUAGUUCUGAAUUCUUGGGUAAUUAAUGUCCUUGGAACAGGUUCAAGAUUGGAGUCCACUAGAAAAGGUCAAACUCUAAAUGAGUGCAUUUUGUAAAAAGAGAUACAUAAUUAGAGUCAGAGAUUAUUUAUUUAUUUAUUUUUGCCAACUGAAACAACUAUGGUGGCUUCAGAGAUUUCUGAUUCAGUGGCCUUAAGUGUUUCAUGCAAACUUUCAUUUAGACAGUCCUCAGAUCUCCAGGGCAUCCUAUAUGUAGUAAUGGGUUAUUUCAAAAGCUGCUACUAAAAACCUCCUGAAUAUUCUACAUGUACACAUAUUGAGGUUAUACAGAUACAGUUUGUUUCGAGACAUAAGAAAGAAGAUAACAAAUAGCAUUAUGGAUGGUGUAUUGAGAAUCACUAUCUUAUGUUCUAGCUACAUAGUGAGUCAAAAUAUUCAAUUGCAAAGUGACAACUUCCAUUUGCCCUUUAUCUGCCUGGAAUUUUCUGACAGUUUCUCCUACAGGUUUUUGAGUUCUUUGGUAUCAUAUAGGUUUAGUCUUUACAGCACAAAGCUGGGUUCCUUUCAGCUGCUCCUGUCUUUGUCUCAGAUGCCCCAUUCAAUUCAAGAUAUAUGUCUUUUUGCUUCUGUGAAAAUGUAAUCUUUUAAGUGACUCACAGAAUAAGAAAAAACAAAUUGAGUUAGAAGCCUGACAAACACCCAGAUCAGCCAGCCUCACCCAAUUCAGUCCAAGGAGGUUUGACAAGUUGCUAUACAAAAAAGCAGUCUUUUGGAGGCAAAACUGCUUGCCAGUGUGCACAUCAACUCUGACAGAGGGCAAAACACCAGCUGCCUGAAUACGCUCUCAGGCUGCAUCUCCAGGAGCAAAAAGGGCUCUUCAGUUUCAGCAAAGUGAACCGUCCUCCCCCCAGCUAAUCAAAACGCCCCUUGGUUGGCAGAUCGAAAUAUCCUUCAAUCCAGUAAGCCUGCAUGCAUGACUUUUCACAGCUAACCUCUGCCCAGGGAGAAGUCAAUAAAGAAACAAAAUGCAAAUAAAUUAGCAUUCAUCACUGCUGAUCUAGUAUAAAUAUUUAUAAGGGAAAGAUGCAGCGAUUUUGAGUGAUACCAUGAUCUGGACCCCACAUAAACAGUUAAAAACAGCCAUACUUGAGAUAUUGCACUUUGCAUUUUUUUUUUCCAUUUCACAUCACCAUAAUCACCCAAUAAAUAUUUAAAUGGACCCAUUUGCUGUAACUAUAAAAGAACCGUGUAAACUUGUUGUCAUCUAGACACAUUAGCCGUGGUGGAGUCAAUGAAUUUCAACAGUCACUUAAUAUCGCAGCCACUAGCUACCUUAAAACUGCCAGCGAGGGCCUGCCAGGAAGCUACUGUAACAGCCCAGAUCACUGCCUCCUGAGCAAGACACGAGCUUCAUUAUGAAUGCGAGCAUUGCUGCUCUAAUUAGGCCUGGGAGAGGUUUAACAACCAUCCUACAGUCUUGCUGCUGACAAAUAUAAAAAUAAAGCCUUGUUCGAAUUAGCAAUGUGAAGUGAGAAGGUCUAGAAGCACCAACUGUCUGAGCGGCCCUGGGACGGCUCUAAUCUAUAGUGAGGUUAUUUUGGUUCAUAAACUGCUAGUAUGUUACCUGCAGGAGGUCUCCCCUGUAAAAUGAAUUAUAGUAAGCUAUAUGUGAUAAUUAACCAUGCAUUAGCAAAUAUCUUGAAACAGGGAGGCUCUGUUUUCUCUGUAUUUUGACUAAUAAAAGCAUGAAUUUGUUCAACAAAUGAUCAUUUAGGUUGUGGAAUUCUAACCAUAUUGGAAGGACACAGUGAGCAAUACAACAUUGUGCUGGUCUAAGGGUUUCCUUACCCAAACAGGCUGCUUAAUAGGCUGGCUCCAUACUAUGAUGCUAUUCACAGACCUAAAAACCACAGCGUUGAGAAGACAAAUACAAUAUACAUUUAAAAUAAUAUGAACCUUGUGUUCUUAUUUACUUUAAAAUCACCCUAUAUGUGACAAUUAAAAAAAUACAUGGGUAAAGUUCUAUUUCAGAAAGUAACCUUAUGUUUUGUUUAAAAUAUUUAAAAAGAAUUCCCAUGACUUUUCAACAAUUAAAAAAAUAUAUAUAUCAUUGUACUUUUUUUUUUUUACAGUGUGGGUUUCUAAGAACUUUCUUUAGAUGGUUUCAAACAUGCUCUGGAAAUAAAAACUAGAUCACAACAUUGAAUAAGACAACACUGUCUUCUGAAUUACUUAAUGCAUCAUCCAAAAGAGUACCAGGGAGUAUAUCAUACAGGUAUCAAUGACUUUGAAAGAAGUGUUUUGGGUGCUGCCUUGGGGCUGAAGAGUGGGCUGGGCUGAAUAAAAAGAAUCAAGGGAGGUUGAUGAGAAGAAGCGUCAUCUCCAAUUGUCAGGGCAUUCAUGGAGAACAGGAGUUCAGGUGUUUUUAUCAUUAUAGGAAGCUACAUGAUGCUAAUUUUGUGACCAGAGCCUGCCAGCAAUAGAAGGUACCAAUGAUGCCUUAAAAUUAAUAGAUUUUCCCUUGUCCUGCAAGACACCAAUUGCUUCUUUAUAAAAAGGAAUAUCUUCUCCUUUUUUUCUCCUGAUCUUCUAACCUCACAGCUAAAAUGCAUAUUUAUAUGGAGUAUAUAUAAACACAUGCACACAUACUUACACAGAUCUAAAAAUAAUUCAGACAGACCACGAAGGCAGCUUCGGUGUUUAUUUCAAAUCUGUGACCAAUAGUUCUGCUUUAAAUAGUCUAUCCAAAUCCAUCAAUAAGUUGAGGUUAUCCCUUCUAAGCAGUUCCAAGAGUUUAUAUGUUUAUACCCAAACUGUUUCCAUGGGAUAUUAAUAGAUGUUAGCUAAAAGGAUUCUGUGGUCAGAUAUAUAUGAGAAUCCCUGGAUUAAGUAAAGUGAGAUAGGUUUCUUUACUGUAGGACUUCUCAGAGCCUUUACUACUGCCUUGGGAAAUACUGCCCCAGUGCAAACAUUAGAUACACAUAGCCAGUUCUCAUUAGAAAGAGCAUCUAGUUUUAUAAAAAGUUUCACCAGUGAUGCAGAGAUGGAAAGAGAUGUUGUUUCUGAAGAUCUUGAAAGCUUUGUGGGACUAAAAACCAGGACAUUGUUACAGACCAGAACAUCCUAUACUCCUAUACUCAAUGAGAGAACAUUCAAUCCUAAGUGAGACUGAAGUCUUUCUUAGUUUGGCUAAGGGGCAACACUCUUGAUAAUCAAAACAUCCUUCAGUUGCAAGUCAUUCACCCACUUCAGGAUUGUAAGGAAAAUCACAAAGCAAACACAUUUUGUCAUCUCAGCAAAGAAUCCCUUCUUUCCAUUGCAUGUCAAGUCAAAGUAUUUCUACUCGUAAUCACUCAGCACCUCCCAGGAAAAAGAAAAAAAGUGGCUACUGGCUUCCGGGAGGGAGGUAAAAAUACACCCCCUAGCUCUAUACAGUCUUUCUAGCUCUUUCUGAGCAAAAGCGCUCUUUUUUUUAACCUGUCAAUGAAUUGGGUGGUUACAGUGCAGACUAUAAACUCCUAUGAAAGCAGAAAUCUUCAAGUUGAGUGAAGAUCCUGGGAAGGAAAUGGGAAGAGGACUGGUGCUGAAAUAAAAUGAAUUCUGUGAAGUUUGAGGACUUGGUUUUGGUGUGUUUCAUAGCAAUAGUUUUGUCA